GUCUCUCUCUUUCUCUCUAUCUUCCUCUCUUCUCUCUCUCUCUCUUGCUCACGUUUUCUCUAUCUCCGCCAUUCUCUCUAGCGGAGUCUUGGCUGGAAUCACCUAAAUUAAUCGGAAUUAUCAAGUUUCCAAGUGAGGGUUUGGUGUAACCAAGUUUAGGUCUGACACCCUUAGAGAUUUAAUUCCGUUGAUUGGGAGGUGCCGUUGGAAAUCUCGAGACGCAGCUUCCUUGUGGUGAUGGAUUUCACCGACGAUGACGCGCGGUGGUGGCUGGAAUCGGGCGAAGAAGACGAGCAGUCCAGAACCCGAAUUUCAGCGGUUGGUCGUUCAAAGAAUUAAUUGAACGGAGGUCUUAAGGGUAGAAUCUCGACGAUCAGGUCCCAUCAUUAGAAACCUCACGAUGUUACCUUUCUGUUGGUGGCGAAGCUCGAUGGCUUGCACCGACGUUGGUCGCCGGAGUUUGGUGAGAAGUCAGCCUGCUCGCUGCGAUUUUGGGGAAGCAAAACCUGCUGCCGCACCUGUUUUCGGAGCCGAAAUCGAAGGGUUUCGAAUGCGAAUUUGGAAUCGGUUCCUUCAGGAAACUCGUAGAGGACAUCGUAAACUAUAAGUGUUGAGCGUAGUAAAGCUCUGACUCAAGGUUUAAGCUUAAAGAUGCUUCUAUAGCACUUCUAUAGCACUAGCGUUGGACUCCAGGUGAGAAACUAUGACUCCUUAUCCGAUUUCUUUCCUGCGCUUAAUAUCUCCUUUGUUUGAACCGAAUAUUUUGUAUAUAUUGAAGCCUUCGAUACCUUGAUUAUAUUUGUUCUUGAAA